GAUAGGGUUCCAAGGUUAUAUUUAAUGUUUGAAAAAGAAAAUUUGAAAAGAUCUUAUAUUUAUAAUAAUUUUUAAUAGUUUUUUGUUUUAUUAAAACUUGGAAAUAUUAGAUCUGGGAUUUUUCAUUUAAAGUUUAGGGUUUAUAUGAUGUUUGAAUAGGGAUAUAGAGUUUAGGGUUUGAAAAGAUGUAAAGAAUUUAGGGUUUGAGGUUUAGAUUUAAGAUUUGAAUUGAAAAUUAAUUUUGAAAAUAUUAAAAUUUAAAUUUAAAACUUAAGACUAGAAUAUGAAAAUAUUUGAGCGUUAGGCUUGUGUUUAUAAUUUAGGGUUUAAAAUAUGUUCUAAGUUUAGGGUUUUAAAUAACCAAACAUAGCAUUUUUAAUUAUGUUUUGCUAUUAAAACUAAGUGUUACGUUAAAACUAUACACUAUUAUAGCGUUUUUAAAUAUGCCAUUCUAUCAUAGCGUUUCAAAAUGUACAAACGCUAUCUAAAACUAAGGCGUAUGUCAAUUAUAGCACAAAGGCAAAAAAUACUAUC
rnacentral:lncRNA from 1 species